rnacentral:lncRNA from 1 species
CGGAACCCUAUGGCACAAGCCUCAAACCCACAUGCACAAGUAGAUAUGGAAUCCAAAGAUUUGAUAAACCCACCUCCUAUGGCACCCCACACUUAGAGAAGCUGAAACACCAAUAAUCGAAGGAUGUAGAGGAGAAUCUGACAAACGCCACAACGAAUAGUUGAUAAGUAAGCCAAGAUUCCUAGUGCAAUUGAUGAAAGCAAAUCCUCACUCUCACUCAACGCAAUACACGCCAAAGGCAUGAAAAGAAUUCUGAAAUUUUGAUUAAAAGCUGCCUCUUACAAUUGUUUCUUAUCCUUAUAUAGUAAGGAGAAAAACAAAUAAUACCCUAGUACACUCUUCUUGGACCUGACUUAAACACAUAAGGCCCAAACCUAAUCACACACUAAAAUAACACAUAAGUAUUAAAACAUAAGCCCAAAACAUGGCCCAACACUCUAAAACUUAAAAGAUAAAGUAUGGCCAGAAUACAAGCCCAAACAAAGCUAAAAUAAAACAAGUGUUAAAUAAUAAAAAUAUAGCAAGCCCAUCAUAGUCUUCACAAAAGUCUUACUUGAUCUUCACUUUAGGCUUCCCUUUGUGUAGUUUUAGCCCAUAGGUUUGAUUAGGCUCCCUAAGCUUAUGAUUGCAAGUGUUGUACCAAAUCUGUCCCAUAUGAGUUGAAGCACGCCCCAAAUCUAUAUGGAUCAUAUGAAUAUGAUUUUGAACUCCUUCUUGAUCCAUUUGAAUGACAUAAGUUUGCUCCACACCAUUGUUAGAAAUUUGCCCUAUUGAAUCCGUAUCAUUCUCUCAUUCUUUAGAAAAGAUUCGUCCUCGAAUCUUGCUGAUAUUUAUGUCAAAAAGGAAAGUUUUAGAAACCCAUGUGUCUUCAAAGACCUCCUUUUGAAUAGGUGGAAAUAGGAUAAAAAUUUCGUCAUGAAUGUUUUCAUCAACAACCUGCACAUCAAGAACAAAUGAACUAGGCAUAAAAAUAUUAGUCAUAGAAAGAUCUUGUGGAUGUGACCCAUUCUCCUCUACAACUUCCAAAACAGUCUCAUUCACCUCCUCCAUCUCAUCAAUCACGUGCUCCCCAUGUCCCUCAUCAUUCACAACCUCUUCUAUAAGUUCAUUGAUGGAAUUCUCAACAACAACCACAACAACAUAUGGUCUGCCUGCCGUGUAACGGUCUACCCAACAACAUAUGGCCUGCCUGCAUAGGUACCACAUCACACAAGAUCUCAUCCCUGUAACUACCAAUAGAAAAUGGUAUAACCACCUGGCGUGUAACCCGAACCUCUCCACAAUCAUUCAACCUUUGUAAUCUAUAUGGCUUAGGGUGUUUAAUAGAAGCCAAGCCCAAUUUUUCCACCAUAUACACACUAGCCACAUUUGUGCAACUACCUCCAUCAAUAAUGAGAGUACACACUUUUCUAUUAACCAAACACCUAGUGUGAAAUAUGUUUUCUCGUUGUUCUAGGCUUUCUUCCUUAACCUGCAUAUUCAGAGCACGCCUAGCAACAAACAUCUCACAAUGUGCAGCAAGCAACACAUUAUUAACCAAUACAUCUGAAUCAUCACAGUCAUUAUUGCAAUUAGGAGUUUUUUGAGGUAUUCUUGUAGAAGUGGAAGCUUGUGAGACAUUCAAACUCUCCAUAGUUUCAGUCAACCUCUCAAGAGUCUUAUUGAGCCUUUGUAACUCACCACUGACUGACUUCUUAAAGAGCUUAUAAUCGUUACCCAUAUUCGAUUCAGUUCCAUCAGUACGAUCCACCACAUUCUUGUCUUUACUCAUCCUACCUUAAAUCAACAAAGAACAAAAAGAACUAGCAAAUAUUGUGUUAAAAAAAAGUACUCAAGUGUUUGCACUCUUACCAUUCUUUUGCUGAUUCUUCAAUUGCACUUCAGAAACUAAGGUCAACCAACCACAAUGUGCGUUUAAUGAAACAAAGAAGAAAACCUAAAGAAAGAAGGAAGCGCACAAAAACUAGAAAGAAGACACUGACAAUUUGGAAAGUAACACACAAACUAGAUUUUGUGCUCCUUGAAAAAUAUCACCUAGAGUAUAGACACAAGCAAACAAUACUCCAACAAUGUCAAGGAAAUAAAGCAAGCUUAAACCAAAAACGAAACUUUGAAUUCAUAUAAAAACGAAUCUGGACAAAAGUUUGAAUUUAUUUCGCUUCAACGCAAAUUAAAUAUGGAUCUAUUUAAAUCUACCAAAAAAGGCAAGUAUCAAAACCCCACAAAUAGACUAAAAAAAAAAUCUCACUCAGUGCAGCAUUAUGGACGAAAAUGGGCAUUAAAAGAUGGAUUUGACACUAAAUCGAUUUAGAUGCAGUUGCCUUAAAUGUGCACCUUAAGAAAUAGGCAGAUUUCUUUUGUCUCCUAAUCUGGAUUCAACCCAAUUCAAAAUUUAAAAUUGAUUUCCAUAAACUACAGCAAUCAAUUGAGAUAGGUAAGGAAAUAUGGAUGAAAAAGGAAGCAUAUCACAAUUUCGGCCAGAUCAAGGUAAAUAAGGCAAAUGCAAAAUUUUUUUUUCGUUUUUUUUUUGGGAUUUCGAAUUUUCUUCCAAAAGAGAUUAUGUGAUAAUUUAUCAAGAAGGUGCAACCAUGAAUACAAAAGCUUUCACCGAAAUCAAUAAUGAAUAAAAGAAAACUCAAAAAAUAACUCUAGAUCCUGAGAUAAAUAAGAAUUUACCUCACUUUGGCUCUGAUACCAACUGAUGCGGAACCCAAGAUCAACAUGUGAUCAAAAACCCCAUCACACAACUUGAUAAAGAACAAGACAAACAUGUGAUAAAAAACCCCACCACAUUCUCUUUACCUUGCUUGUAUUUUAUCACAUAAGGAAAGAUUUCGAAAUACUCAACCCACUUACCAUGCCGCUUGUUCAACUUACCUUGUCCCUUCAAGUGUUUUAGAGAAUGAUGGUUGGUAUUAAUCACGAACUCAUUAGGCAGCAAGUAGUGUUCUCAAACUUCAAGAGCCCUAAUCAGUGCAUAGAACUCUUUGUCAAAGGUGGAAUAGCUCAAAUGUUCGCCACCUUGCUUCUCACUGAAAUAUGCUAUGGGUCGACCUUCCACCAUAAGAACAGCACCAAUACCAAUCCCAGAAGUAUCACAUUUGAUUUCAAAGGUUUUUGAAAAAUCAGGUAACCUCAAAACAAGAGCAGUAGUCUUAAAGGCAGUUUUGCACUCAUCACCUAGCUUCAUCCUAAUUUGAUGAUAACUGCUUUUCAAAUCAAUUUUGGUAAAAGAGACAACACCACAUAACUCUUCAAGCAUAUCAUCAACACACAUGCGCAUUAUUCCAUCUUUCUUUGGAACAAACAAAACAGGUACUGUGCAUGGACUAAGGCUCUCCCUGAUAUAUCCAUUAGCUAGCAACUCAUCAACUUGCUUUUGCAAUUCCUUCAUCUCCUCAGGAUUACUCCGGUAAGCUGGACAAUUUGGAAUCUGAGCUCCAGGGACAAAAUCGAUCUGAUGUUCUAUUCCCCUAAUGGGCGGCAACCCAGAUGGCACCUCCUCAGUAAAUACAUCCGCAAAAUUCUGCAACAACUUAGAAAAAAAAAACUAGGCAAUUCAUCAGUAGGGUUAGUCUCAAUCAUAAAAUUGAAACUAAAACAGAAAGCUCUCUUCCCUAAGUAUGCUUUCUUCAACUCUCUCUCUUUACAAUAGAAGGAAGACUUGCUGAAUUCUUCACUCUUCUCACUCAGCUUUCCUUUUACAUCCACACUAACUAACGUUUUCUCUCCUGCACAUCUCUCAUUUUUAUCCUUUCCUAUGCAGUCACUUUCCUUUGGGCCAUUCGAAACUUUCUUUUUACUACUUGCCUCUUUUCCCUCAUUCUUUUUACUUGUCUCACGUCCCUUACCCAAUUUAGCAGAUUGUUGUGAUUUGACUUGAUCUGCAUAUACAUCUUUAGGAGAUAAUGGUACAAGUAUAUGUUUUACACCAAGGAACGUAAAAGAAAACCUAUUACUAUACCCAUCAUGAAUGACACGCCUAUCAAAUUGCCAUGGUCUACCUAACAAAAUAUGUCCAGUUUGCAUGGGUACAAUAUCAUAAGUAACCUCAUCUACAUACUUACCAAUAGAAAAGGACACUUUACAUUGCUUUGUUACCCUUGCCUCGCCACUGUCAUUCAACCACUGAAAUCUACAAGGAUUAGGGUGUUUAAUAGUUUCUAGUCCUAAUUUAUCAACUAAAAUAGUACUAGCACAAUUAACUUGACUACCUGAAUCUAUUAUCAUGCAACAGACUUUAUCACCUAUCAAACAACGUGAUAUGGAUCUAAUAGGGCAAAUUUCUAACAAUAGUGUGGAGCAAACUUAUGUCAUUCAAAUGGAUCUAAAAGGAGUUCAAAAUCAUAUUCAUAUGAUCCAUAUACAUUUGGGGCGUGCUUCAACUCAACGCGGAACCCUAUGGCACAAGCCUCAAACCCACACGCAAAAGUAGAUACGAAAUCCAAAGAUUUGAUAAACCCACCUCCUAUGGCACCCCAAACUUAGAGAAGCUGAAACACCAAUGAUCGAAGGAUUUAGAUGAGAAUCCGACAAACGCCACAACAAAUAGUUGAUAAGUUAGCCAAGAUUCCUGGUGCAAUUGAUGAAAGCAAAUCCUCACUCUCACUCAAAGCAAUACACGCCAAAGGCAUGAAAGAAAUUCUGAAAAGUUUGAUUAAAAGCUGCCUCUUACAAGUGUUUCUUAUCCUUAUA